AGGACGAACGCUGGCGGCGUGCUUAACACAUGCAAGUCGAGCGGGGAGCUUCGGCUUCUAGCGGCGAACGGGUGAGUAACACGUGGGCAACCUGCCCCGAGCUCUGGGAUAACCUCGGGAAACCGGGGCUAAUACCGGAUAUGACAUUCAUGGACAUCUGUGGGUGUGGAAAGAUUUAUCGGCUCGGGAUGGGCCCGCGGCCUAUCAGCUUGUUGGUGGGGUAACGGCCUACCAAGGCGACGACGGGUAGCCGGCCUGAGAGGGCGAUCGGCCACACUGGGACUGAGACACGGCCCAGACUCCUACGGGAGGCAGCAGUGGGGAAUAUUGCGCAAUGGGCGAAAGCCUGACGCAGCGACGCCGCGUGAGGGAUGAAGGCCUUCGGGUUGUAAACCUCUUUCAGCAGGGACGAAGCGCAAGUGACGGUACCUGCAGAAGAGCACCGGCCAACUACGUGCCAGCAGCCGCGGUAA
rnacentral:rRNA from 1 species